rnacentral:misc_RNA from 1 species
AGCAGCCGCGGUAAUUCCAGCUCCAAUAGCGUAUAUUAAAGUUGCUGCAGUUAAAAAGCUCGUAGUUGAAUUUCGGGACCAUCAUGUUGGUCGUGCCUCGGUACGUACUGGCAUUGUUGGUUUCUCCCUUCUGACGAACCAUGAUGUCAUUUAUUUGGUGUCGUGGGAAAUCAGGACUGUUACUUUGAAAAAAUUAGAGUGUUUAAAGCAGGCUCACGCUUGAAUACAUUAGCAUGGAAUAAUGAAAUAGGACGUUUGAUUCUAUUUUGUUGGUUUCUAGGAUCGACGUAAUGAUUAAUAGGGAUAGUUGGGGGCAUUAGUAUUCAAUUGUCAGAGGUGAAAUUCUUGGAUUUAUUGAAGACUAACUACUGCGAAAGCAUUUGCCAAGGAUGUUUUCAUUAAUCAAGAACGAAAGUUAGGGGAUCGAAGACGAUCAGAUACCGUCGUAGUCUUAACCAUAAACUAUGCCGACUAGGGAUCGGAUGAUGUUAAUUUUUUAAUGACCCAUUCGGCGCCUUAC